CCUACGGGGUGCACCAGUGGGGAAUAUUGCACAAUGGGCGCAAGCUUGAUGCAGCCAUGCCGCGUGUAUGAAGAUGGCCUUCGGGUUGUAAAGCACUUUCAGUCGGGAGGAAAGUGGUGAGCUUAAUACGCUCAUCAAUUGACGUUACCGACAGAAGAAGCACCGGCUAACUCCGUGCCAGCAGCCGCGGUAAUACGGAGGGUGCAAGCGUUAAUCGGAAUUACUGGGCGUAAAGCGCACGCAGGCGGUUGAUUGAGUCAGAUGUGAAAUCCCCGGGCUUAACCCGGGAAUUGCAUCUGAUACUGGUCAGCUAGAGUCUUGUAGAGGGGGGUAGAAUUCCAUGUGUAGCGGUGAAAUGCGUAGAGAUGUGGAGGAAUACCGGUGGCGAAGGCGGCCCCCUGGACGAAGACUGACGCUCAGGUGCGAAAGCGUGGGGAGCAAACAGGAUUAGAUACCCCGGUAGUC
rnacentral:rRNA from 1 species